rnacentral:tRNA from 1 species
GGGCCGGUAGCUCAGUCAGGCAGAGCGUCUGGCUUUUAACACCAGACGGUCGGGGGUUCAACUCCCUCCCGGCCCG